GUACGCGCUGUGUGACUUUUCUAGACCUAACAACACUGUUAAGUCUCCUUCUCUCCCUAGAACUCUCCGUCCAUUUCAAACCCUAGAAUUCUAUCUCUUUGUUUCGUCCAAAUCGCUCAAUGGGAUUUCGAAAAAGAACUUCGAUCUGGUUCCUUCCAACUCCCCUCUUUCAACCCCGAUCUACAGAGAGAUAAAGAGAUGGCGGAUGAGAGAGAGGACGUCGACCUCGUAUUGUGCUUGAAGUUCUACCUUCAGUUCGUCAAUUGUGCUGCAGCAGCAUCUUCACAAGGACAGAGGGUGUAGGCCAUCCCCAUCUUCACAAGGUCUUGGAAGUGUAGGCCUUGUUGUUGCAGAGGGUGCUAAAACUGCAGGUGCUUCACGGAUCAUUGGUGUAAAUCUCAUUCAUACUUCAUUCCUCUAAAUCUGGGUUCACGCAUCAAGGAUACCUCAAAAUCUUUCGAUUUUGCGUCAAGUAUUCAACCACGAGAGAGAUGAAGAGAGGGAGGACACUAUACUUCUUUGCGCUCUACUAGCUUCAAUCUCCGUCUUUGACUUCGCGAUGAAUGAAAAUGGCUCCUCUUACGAAGCAAGAUGCUAUUGUUUCAUAAACUCGGGACAGGUAUUUUGCAAGACUUAUGAGUAGAAAUGAAGCCAUACAGAGAACAAAGCUCCUAAUGCAGAAAAUUUUGUCACAUGGUGCCCCCCGCCCAAAACUGUCCAAAAUGAUAGAAAUUUUAGUAGAUCAUUUCAGUAUCUCAAUUCUUCAUUUCAUUUUUUGAUCUGGGGUUAUUCUUGGUAUGUAGCAACUUAGAUUCUAAUAACAUCAUUGCAUCAGCAUGCGUGUCAUUAAUAUGUUCAGUGGACCUAGCUCCUUAGAACAUGUUGUGGUAUCCAUCUUCUGUUUAAAGUAGGGUAUAUGUACACUCUAAAUAUGCUUCAGGAUAUUAGAAACCAAGGAGACAUUCUUGCAGAAAUCAGACAGCGUCAGUCAGCUGAUUGCAUAAUAUAAGGAGUUAUUUGUGUAGAAAGAAGCCUUUUCCACAUUUGCUUUUACAUUUUUUUUCACAUCACUUUUAGCAUUUAGGUCUUUGUCAUAAG